AUGGUGAAGAUACUGGAGAUCGGAGGAGGACCACUCGACGCCGAGGAAGACGACGACUGCUGCGAGAUAGACCCCGCCGAGUUCGCCAAGAAGGUGAACCUCAAAGCAUCAGCCGACGACGAUGUGGUCGUGGUUGCGGCGAAAGGCCCGAUCAAAGUCAAGGUGGAAGUAGAUCGGUCGGAGCAUUCUGCAGAAACCAUCCCUAUCAUCGCCAAUGGUAAUGGUGGCCUGCACGGACGCAUUGCUGGUGAUCGCUUGGAUAACCCCUAUGAGAUUGAAGAAGAUGAACCUACUAUCCAUCAGAUGGAGCCUCUUGAGGCCAAGCCUGAUGUCAAAAGCACCCCUGUCGAGCCACUGCUGGUGAUGUCCGAUUCCGAACUGCCCUUUGGGGGGCUCUUCGCCGACAUGUCUCCGGUCAAGCGUGAACCUGAAGAUGGCAAUGUGAAUGGCGAACCUGAAGAUGGCACCAGUGGUGGCGAUGAGCAUGAACUCUCUGAGGAGGAAGUCAUGCCUGAGAUGUCGCUGCUGAAGUGUGACUCUGAAUGCUUCGAGGAGGUCGUCAAUCCUGGCAUGUCACAGGCAAAGUGUGAGACUGAAGGCAAUGCCGGUGCUGUGGAUGAACCCAUCGAGGAGGAAAUCAUCCCUGACAUGUCGCCGCUGAAAUGCGGGUCUGAAUGCUUUGAGGAGGUCGUCAUUCCUGACUUGUCGCCGGUAACGCACAACAGUGGCACGGAUGAACUCUCCAAGGAGAAAACCAUCCCUGCCAUGCCGCUGCUGAAGUCUGAAUCUGAAUACUUUGAGGAUGUUGCUGUUCCUGUCAUGUUGCCGAUAAAGCACAAACCUGAAGACCAUCAUGGUGCUGAAGAGUGUGUCGGAGAAGAGGAUGGGUAUGACCAUCUCCCUGAGAUGGAUAAACUCAGCCCUGAAGGAAGAGUGUUUGAUGAGGAAGACGGUGACGACGUAGUUGUAGUAGCCAAACAGGCUCUUUGA
rnacentral:rRNA from 1 species